UGAGACGUGGCAGAGUGGCUGAUUGCGGGUGCCCCCUUAAUUGGGAGCACUCUGGAGCUUUAAAAAUUGGGCUCCACGCGGGUUCGAAUCCCGUCGUCUCUC
rnacentral:tRNA from 1 species